UGAAGUCUGGUAGGGAGAGAGAGAGAUAGAUCGCGGUGGGUGAAAUCUCGCCGGCGUUUACUGUUCCAUCGGUUUUCUUUCUUUUUAUUUUAUUUUUCCGGUUUUUACCUUUUGCCUUUACUCACAUUAUCUUCUUUGUAUAAUUUUCUGAGUUUAUUCGGCGCGUAAAGUAAUGGUUUUCUCUCCAUUUCUCUUCAAAGCCACGUUUACAGUUCAGCUUCAUUUCAAGCUUUCUCCGCUUAGUUUUAUUUUUUUUUUCCCCAAGGAAAACAAAUUUGAAGUGAUUCGGAAAAAUAGUUUAUUUUAGAAUUAAUUAUUAAAAAAAGUUACUGAAUAAACUAGCAGUUGAUUUAUUUAUUUUUUUCCAAAAAUGUAGCAACGGCUAAAUGCAUGGAAUUCGGGAUUUAACCGACGAACAUUAUUAUUCAAUGCUAUUUUUAGUAAUAAUUAUUAUUUUUUAAUUUUGGCUUUUUAAUGAGUUGCAGAGCUCGAGAUUUGAGGAAGAAAG
rnacentral:misc_RNA from 1 species